rnacentral:rRNA from 1 species
CGAUUCUGGCUCAAGAUGGACGCUGGCGGCGUGCCUAACACAUGCAAGUCGAACGAGGUAAGGGUCCUUCGGGAGCUUACCGAGUGGCGGACGGGUGAGUAACGCGUGGGUAACCUGCCCUGUACCGGGGGACAACAGUUGGAAACGACUGCUAAUACCGCAUAAGCGCACAGCAUCGCAUGAUGCAGUGUGAAAAAUUCCGGUGGUACAGGAUGGACCCGCGUCUGAUUAGCUAGUUGGUGAGGUAACGGCCCACCAAGGCGACGAUCAGUAGCCGACCUGAGAGGGUGACCGGCCACAUUGGGACUGAGACACGGCCCAAACUCCUACGGGAGGCAGCAGUGGGGGAUAUUGCACAAUGGGGGAAACCCUGAUGCAGCAACGCCGCGUGAGUGAAGAAGUAUUUCGGUAUGUAAAGCUCUAUCAGCAGGGAAGAAAACGACGGUACCUGCAGAAGAAGCCCCGGCUAACUACGUGCCAGCCGCCGC